rnacentral:lncRNA from 1 species
AUUUUAUUCUCUUUUGGCAAAUAUUAAAUAUUCAGCAAAGCAAUAUUUGUUUCCCUCUCUGUACAUGGACUGUCUAUUGCAAGUCGAGUCAUUUCUCUCCAGAUGCUUAUCUUCAUGAUGAAAUAUCUCCGAAGAGUUGAUACUUUUUAAGCCAAAAUAAGAAUAAAUUUGUAUCACUAAUAUUUAUGAUAGAUAUGUGUACAGGUAAAUUGGCGCAAAUGAGUUCCGAAUAUUGGCGCAAUUGAUACAUUUGGAAAACAAAAUUUGGCGCAAAU